rnacentral:rRNA from 1 species
UGGGGGAUAUUGCACAAUGGGCGAAAGCCUGAUGCAGCGACGCCGCGUGGGGGAUGAAGGCUUUCGGGUUGUAAACCUCUUUCGCUAUCGAACAAGGCCCGCUUAGGGUGGGUUGAGGGUAGGUGGAGAAGAAGCGCCGGCUAACUACGUGCCAGCAGCCGCGGUAAUACGUAGGGCGCGAGCGUUGUCCGGAAUUAUUGGGCGUAAAGGGCUUGUAGGCGGCUUGUUGCGCCUGCUGUGAAAACGCGGGGCUUAACUUCGCGCGUGCAGUGGGUACGGGCAGGCUUGAGUGAGGUAGGGGUGACUGGAAUUCCAGGUGUAGCGGUGGAAUGCGCAGAUAUCUGGAGGAACACCGAUGGCGAAGGCAGGUCACUGGGCCAUUACUGACGCUGAGGAGCGAAAGCAUGGGUAGCGAACAGG